rnacentral:lncRNA from 1 species
UUGGGAAGAAGAAAAGACACAAAAUUCUGUGCUGGCCCUGCAGGUGAAGACGCUCUUCCAGUUCUUUGAUUGAUGGAUUGCCCUCAGUUUUCAUUGUUAAAGGGGACCCAUUGUGGACCUUUUUCUCCUGUAGGAAAGUGCAUAGGAAUGGAGAUCAAUUAAACCUCUACUGCACAGAGGAGGGAAGAAAUCUGGUGGAUGUCCUGCAAAUGUCAUUGACGAGGUUAGUAAGAUCUUUCUCUUUUCAUUCUCUUGAUAUUCCUUGUACUUAUGCUUGAGGUACUUAAGAUUUCUAGAGUGGUCUGUGGCAGCAAAAUUUCUCACUGCGGUGGAUUAACCAAGAAGAGUUUGUC